rnacentral:misc_RNA from 1 species
AAGUCGUAACAAGGUUUCCGUAGGUGAACCUGCGGAAGGAUCAUUAAAAAAUCUUUCGAGCCGCAAGGCUCUAUUAUCUUGUGAAGUGUUUGCUGUACACACACGCACUGUGUGUGGUGAGAUGAAUGAUGAUGCGGUGGUGAAUGAAAGUUCUCCUCUCUUCUUUCGUUCAUUCUUGCCACGGACACAAGUGUUGCUGCUGUGUACGCUUUUAAAAUGUAUGGUUUUGAUGUUACUGUUUGUAUGUUACAUUUUACUAUGUAAUACUCAAUACAAUACAACUUUCAACAGUGGAUCUCUCGGCUCUU